rnacentral:rRNA from 1 species
UACGUAGGGUGCAAGCGUUGUCCGGAAUUAUUGGGCGUAAAGAGCUCGUAGGCGGUCUGUCGCGUCUGCUGUGAAAACUCAGGGCUUAACCCUGAGCUUGCAGUGGGUACGGGCAGACUAGAGUGCGGUAGGGGAGACUGGAAUUCCUGGUGUAGCGGUGAAAUGCGCAGAUAUCAGGAGGAACACCGGUGGCGAAGGCGGGUCUCUGGGCCGUAACUGACGCUGAGGAGCGAAAGCUAGGGGAGCGAAUGGG